rnacentral:tRNA from 2 species
UAAAAGAUAAGCUAAUUAAGCUAACGGGCUCAUACCCCGUAAAUGGAAGUUCAGUCCUUUCUCUUUUUA